rnacentral:piRNA from 1 species
UGCCUGAGCAUCCUGACUUUAUCUGC